GGGCCCGCACAAGCGGCGGAGCAUGUGGCUUAAUUCGAUGCAACGCGAAGAACCUUACCUGGGUUUGACAUGCAUGGUAAUCCUUCAGAGAUGGAGGGUCCUUCGGGGCCGUGUACAGGUGGUGCAUGGCUGUCGUCAGCUCGUGUCGUGAGAUGUUGGGUUAAGUCCCGCAACGAGCGCAACCCUUGUUCCAUGUUGCCAGCACGUGAUGGUGGGGACUCAUGGGAGACUGCCGGGGUCAACUCGGAGGAAGGUGGGGAUGACGUCAAGUCAUCAUGCCCCUUAUGUCCAGGGCUGCACACAUGCUACAAUGGCUCAUACAGAGGGCUGCGAUGCUGUGAGGCUGAGCGAAUCCCUUAAAGUGAGUCUCAGUUCGGAUCGGGGUCUGCAACUCGACCCCGUGAAGUCGGAGUCGCUAGUAAUCGCAGAUCAGCAACGCUGCGGUGAAUACGUUCCCGGGCCUU
rnacentral:rRNA from 1 species